CCCUUAGAUGUUCUGGGCCGCGCGCGCGCUACACUGAUGCAUUCAACGAGUCUAAAACCUGCUCUGAUAGGGGUGGGUAAUCUUUUGAAUGUGCAUCGUGAUUGGGAUAGAUGAUUGCAAUUUUUCAUCUUCAACGAGGAAUGCCUAGUAAACGCAAGUCAUCAGCUUGCAUUGAUUACGUCCCUGCCCUUUGUACACACCGCCCGUCGCUCCUACCGAUUGAAUGAUCCGAUGAAUAUCAUGGAUUGAGGAUUAUAGCAGGUUCGCCUGUCUUGAUCUUCGAGAAGUGAAGUAAAUCUUAUCAUUUAGAGGAAGGAGAAGUCGUAACA
rnacentral:rRNA from 1 species